GGAAGCGUGGCCGAGUGGUUUAAGGCAGUGCUCUUGAAAAGCACCGAUGCAGGAAUGCAUCCGUGAGUUCGAAUCUCACCGCUUCCGCCA
rnacentral:tRNA from 1 species